UACGGAGGAUCCAAGCGUUAUCCGGAAUCAUUGGGUUUAAAGGGUCCGUAGGCGGUUUGGUAAGUCAGUGGUGAAAGCCCAUCGCUCAACGGUGGAACGGCCAUUGAUACUGCCAGACUUGAAUUAUUAGGAAGUAACUAGAAAUAUGUAGUGUAGCGGUGAAAUGCUUAGAGAUUACAUGGAAUACCAAUUGCGAAGGCAGGUUACUACUAAUGGAUUGACGCUGAUGGACGAAAGCGUGGGUAGCGAACAGG
rnacentral:rRNA from 1 species